UACGGGGGGGGCAAGCGUUGUUCGGAAUUACUGGGCGUAAAGGGCUCGUAGGCGGCCGACUAAGUCAGACGUGAAAUCCCCCGGCUUAACCGGGGAACUGCGUCUGAUACUGGACGGCUUGAAUCCGGGAGAGGGAUGCGGAAUUCCAGGUGUAGCGGUGAAAUGCGUAGAUAUCUGGAGGAACACCGGUGGCGAAGGCGGCAUCCUGGACCGACAUUGACGCUGAGGAGCGAAAGCCAGGGGAGCAAACAGG
rnacentral:rRNA from 1 species